UUUUGAACCAAACCAACAUUUGUUAUUGAAGUAGAAGUCCUGGGAGUGCAUUCUGACGAAGACAGCAAAGGUUAUGAGAAUCUACCGUCUGAAGCUGAAGCAAUACCCUUUACCCAAGGACUGUACCUGAAAUGAUACAAGAUCACCGGUGAAUUGUUCAUUAGAAAAGUCCUUAUCAAUCAGUGGAACGGAAGAAGAAUUCCUCACUACCGGCAGACUGUCAGAACAUCAUUUCUAAUAGUUAUCUAUGUGGGACUGAUACCAGUGUGGAAGAGCUGAUCAAUUUUAAAGUUCUUGCUGAGUGAUUACCUUGCCAAUAGGACGAUUGAAUAUUAUAGUCUUGUAGACAAUUAUUUAUUUUGUGAGUUUCCUCCUAAUACAGGAUGUGGUAGGAAUCGUAAGGGACAUCAUCAUUACACAUGUUAAUACUUAUCUUCUAUAACUUUGUUUGAAAUCUAUUUCUUAUUGUAACAGAAAGUAAAAUAUGCCCUUUGUGUUUUAUAGAAAUGCAAGGUGUUUAAUGAAAAUUAUUUUAUGCUUACUGCUGUUUUUAAUACUGUUUUCUAAAAACACAUUUUAAGUAUAUUUCUUCUUAAAAUGGUCGAGAGGGGAGUGUAAGAACAUUUCGAAGAAAAUACACAACGCAGAGGACGAGAGGUCAAUAGAGUACUAACGAUCAAUGGAAAUAGUGUUUUUUCUGUCAUAUCAUUGGGUCAGAGACAUGGAGGAAUUUCAGUCCGGGACUCAUAGCUACAUGGCAAGCUCUCAUUUGUCCAAAUUAUUUAUACAUUGAACCUGAAAUAGUAUACUUGUUACUUGGCCAUUGGCCCAGUUUUAUUGCAAGGAAUUCUAAUUGGUCGACCACAGGCUAGGGCUGGGUUAUAAAACUACAUCCUGUCCCUUUGUUCUGUGGAGAGAACUACAGGAAAGAAUCACUGAGGACAGGGGAGCAUGAACAUCUACCAUCUACCUCCCCGGAUGAUGUGUUCUCUUUGAAUAAACCUAUUUUCCUCCCCCUGAUUUGCUUUGGGGUCUGUGUUAUUGAAGCAUUGUCACGUCCUGACCAGUAAAAGGGGUUAUUUGUUAUUGUAGUUUGGUCAGGACGUGGCAGGGGUGUGUUUGUUUAGUAUGUUUCGGGGUUUUUGGUUUAUGUUUUCUAUUUCUAUGUGGGUUUUUUAGUUUGUCUAUUUCUAUGUUAGUUUUGGGAACGACCUCCAAUUAGAAGCAGCUGGUUGUCGUUGCUUCUAAUUGGAGGCCAUAUUUAAGUGGGUUUAUUUUCUCUUGUGUUUGUGGGUGGUUGUUCCAUGUAUAGUCUUAGUACCUUACAGGACUGUUUUUCGAUGUUCUUUUGUUCAGUGUUCAUUUCUUUAAUAAAUCAAGAAGAU
rnacentral:lncRNA from 1 species